rnacentral:rRNA from 1 species
AGAGUUUGAUCAUGGCUCAGGACGAACGCUGGCGGCGUACUUAACACAUGCAAGUCGAACGGAAAGGCCCUUCGGGUACUCGAGUGGCGAACGGGUGAGUAACACGUGGGUGAUCUGCCCUGCACUUUGGGAUAAGCCUGGGAAACUGGGUCUAAUACCGAAUAUGACCAUGCACUUCCUGGUGUGUGGUGGAAAGCUUUUGCGGUGUGGGAUGGGCCCGCGGCCUAUCAGCUUGUUGGUGGGGUAAUGGCCUACCAAGGCGACGACGGGUAGCCGGCCUGAGAGGGUGACCGGCCACACUGGGACUGAGAUACGGCCCAGACUCCUACGGGAGGCAGCAGUGGGGAAUAUUGCACAAUGGGCGCAAGCCUGAUGCAGCGACGCCGCGUGAGGGAUGACGGCCUUCGGGUUGUAAACCUCUUUCAGCACAGACGAAGCGCAAGUGACGGUAUGUGCAGAAGAAGGACCGGCCAACUACGUGCCAGCAGCCGCGGUAAUACGUAGGGUCCGAGCGUUGUCCGGAAUUACUGGGCGUAAAGAGCUCGUAGGUGGUUUGUCGCGUUGUUCGUGAAAACUCACAGCUUAACUGUGGGCGUGCGGGCGAUACGGGCAGACUUGAGUACUGCAGGGGAGACUGGAAUUCCUGGUGUAGCGGUGGAAUGCGCAGAUAUCAGGAGGAACACCGGUGGCGAAGGCGGGUCUCUGGGCAGUAACUGACGCUGAGGAGCGAAAGCGUGGGGAGCGAACAGGAUUAGAUACCCUGGUAGUCC